UCAUCUCUCUGUUAAGAAAGAAUCCCACCAAUUCCCCAAUGCUAUACCCUCAAGGUUGUCAAACUCUUUCUCUCACCCUCCAUCUCGUCCUUGUCCUUCACAAUCGCAACCACCGCCACCACCACCACCACCUAUGAGGGAGUGGCCGAGUGAGAGAUUUGCCGGCGGGUGACAGAGAGUUCCGACCGAUAUAGAGAGUUCCGGUGGUGUUUCGCGGUAACACGGCGGUGUUUGACGACGGCGGUGACAGAGCUUCUUUCUCCUUCUUUCCUCUGGCUCUAUGAAAGAGGCAGCUCAGUUUCAAUUUUUGGGUUCUCAAUUUUAGAGAACGCCAGUAGGUAAGAAACUAAGAAACAAAAGUUUCGACGGAUCCAGUAGCAAUUGAUGCACCUGGAGGAUUUCUUUUCGAGUGGUGGUCUGUCUUUUGGGAUAUAUUCAUCUUGAGAACAAAUGAGAAACAUUCUGAGGCUGCUGCCACUUACAUUGAGACCCAGCAAACGAAGGCAAAAGAACAACUUCAAAUGCAGCAAAUGCAACUAAUGCAACAACGCAAUGUCCAGUUACAGAGAAGAGAUCCUAAUCAUCCUGCACUGAGUGGACUGGGUGGUUCCUUAAAUGCCAUUAACUCUGAAGGUAUGUUGGGGCAGCCACCAGCAAGUGUGUUGGCUAUGAAAAUGUAUGAAGAGCGAAUGAAACACCCUCAUUCAAUGGAUUCAGAAGCAUCUCCAAAUCUUAUCGAUGCGAAUAGGAUGGCUCUUCUCAAAUCAGCAACAAGUCAUCAAGGUCAGCUGGUUCAUGGUAAUUCAGGGAAUAUGUCCAAUGCAUUGCAGCAACUGCAAGCACGGUCUACUUUAACCAAUGACAUCAAAGGAGAUGUUAACAUUGGCGCUGGUCCAAAGAAUUUGCCUUUGGAUACAUCAGUUUAUCGACAAGCAAUUUUACAAUCAAAAUCUGGGUUAGGAAGUGCAGGCAAGAGGCAGGCUGAGGAAGAAGUACAGGCAGUGAGUGCAAAAAAGCAAAAGCUAGAAGAGGUUCAUCAAAAGAAGGAAGCUGAGUUGAAGAAAUUUAAGAAUGAUGAAAGUAGUUAUGAGGAAGAGGUAGUACUAAGUUGAAAGUUGAAACUAAGCUUUAAGAAUAUAUCAUGGCUUCAUUUCAUAGUACAAAUGUAUAAUUAUAGGGAAUUUUAGAUUGUAGGAUAUGAUAGAAGACUAUCAAUUUGGUUUGGGGUCUUAGAUCUAUAUGCGACAUGAUUGCCUAAAGAGGGACUUGGAGCUUGAAGUUAUCAACCAAAUUAAUGGAAAAAAGGAGCUGUGAUUAUUUUUGAAUUAUUGUUUAGAGGAAGAGAGAAAUAAUGUACUAUUGCAUCCUUAUUGUGCAUUGAAACUUUUUUUUUCCCUUCAUAUUGUAAUGAUAAUGAUAAUGAUAAUUUAUGUGGUUGUUUUUGUAAAUUGAAUUUGGAUAUAAUGAGAUUGACCUAGAAAAGUCUCCUAUAUUGAAGAAUACAGGAAGGAUGAAUUCUAUUUUGG